CGUUCUUAGAUAAGCCAUGCACGUCUAAGUACAAACUAAAUGAUGGUGAAACUGCAAAUGGCUCAUUACAACGGUUAUGAUGUACCCGGGAGUUCCGAUGGAUAUUUCCAGUAACACUAGAACUAAUACAUGUCCCUGCGUUUAUUAGUUUCGCACAGUCCGUCGCUGAGUCAUGGUAAACAGUUGAUCGACUCGACGUCCCGGAACAGUUUCCGCCCCAUCAGCUUCGAUGGUUGGGUAUUGGCCUACCAUUGCAACAACGGGUAACGAGGAAUUAGGGCUUGAUUUCGGAGAGGGAGCCUGAGAAACGGCUACCACAUCUACGGAUGGCAGCAGGCGCGCAAAUUACCCAAUGCAGACACUGUGAGGUAGUGACGAGAAAUAAUAAAGCGGGACUUCUGUUUCGCUAUUAUAAUGAGGAAUAACCAAAGGCCAUUCCGAUUAGCAACUGAUGGGAAAGUCUGGUGCCAGCAGCCGCGGUAAUACCAGCGUCAGUAGCA
rnacentral:rRNA from 1 species